rnacentral:rRNA from 1 species
UCCUACGGCCAUGCCACCCUGAAUGUGUCCGAUCCCGUCUGAUCUCGGAAGCUAAACAGGGUCAGGCCUGGUUAGUACUUGGAUGGGAGACCAUCUAGAAAGACCAGGUGCUGUAGGCG